rnacentral:rRNA from 1 species
AGCGAACGCUGGCGGCAGGCUUAACACAUGCAAGUCGAGCGGGCACUUUCGGGUGUCAGCGGCGGACGGGUGAGUAACGCGUGGGAACGUGCCCUCUGGUUCGGAAUAACUCAGGGAAACUUGAGCUAAUACCGGAUACGCCCUUUUGGGGAAAGGCUUGCUGCCGGAGGAUCGGCCCGCGUCUGAUUAGCUAGUUGGUGAGGUAACGGCUCACCAAGGCGACGAUCAGUAGCUGGUCUGAGAGGAUGAUCAGCCACACUGGGACUGAGACACGGCCCAGACUCCUACGGGAGGCAGGGGUGUGGAAUAUUGGACAAUGGGCGCAAGCCUGAUCCAGCCAUGCCGCGGGAGUGAUGAAGGACUUAGGGUUGUAAAGCUAUUUUAACCUGGACGAUAAUGACGGUACCGGAGGAAUAAGCCCCGGCUAACUUCGUG